rnacentral:pre_miRNA from 1 species
UCUUACGGAUAAGCAAAUAAAGUGGUUUCUUGAGAUGGAAACUACUUCUGCUGAAGAUGCUGUGAA